AGGUAGAUGGGCAAGCAUUAGUAUGAUUCUGCAAUAAAGCCAAUGUCACUCCAUUUUGUUAUAUACAAUAGAUUAUAAGCUUACUUUAGUAUUAAGAUAUUGAGAUGUUUAAAAUAUGCCUGGAAGAAUGGAAAAUUACAGUUGGCUGAAAGGAAACAAAAAGAAGAAGUUGUGGCAAAGCUUCUGAGAAAUGGAGAAAGAAAAGGAAACAAGCAGGCGUUAUCAGGAAAAGGACGCAAUCCUGAGGUUAAGGCAAUAGUUAGUGACAGUUUUAAAAAACAGGUAUAUAUAUAUGUAUGGAUUAAUAAAAGAACAGAACUCAGAUUGACUACACCAUGUGUGCAGUGUGUGGUCAUUUGAUAUCUCCAGCUGGCUGCAUGGCACGUAUAUUUUAUUCACAGGUUCUGAAUGCAAAAGACAGGCUGUUGUUGGAGUCCUCUCAGAGAAGGCUGAGGCUAAAGGAGGUUUACCUCCAACAUUUUCAUGGUGCCGAAACCCGGGAAGCCAAGAAGUUGAAUAGAGGAGCAACAAGUCACCUGGCUCUAGACGUUGGAACCGUUUAAACCGCGUAAAACGCAAGAUAAACAAAAAGAAACCUGCUAAAUACGUAAGAUUCGAGCAUACAGAGGAAAUGGAUGAACGUGACCAAGAUGAAUAUGAUGAUAUUGAAUCACGUAAUGACAGACCACCCGUCUACAAAAAUGGAAGCAAUCAAAAAAGACUGUAAAUAGGACUCUUAUGCAUCUAUGCCUUGUGACUAUUUUGUCUGUACGGGAUGGUUAUUACCCUCCCCUGGCAAUAGGCCUAGGGAGACAGACGUACUUGACCAGGUCAUCGCCUGACCUGCUCGGCGAAGUAGGGUAGCGAGGUAUAGUGUGAUGUCUUUUUGAGAAUCAAAAGGAGGGAAAAUGAGGAAGGUAGAUGGGCAAGCAUUAGUAUGAUUCUGCAAUAAAGCCAAUGUCACUCCAUUUUGUUAUAUACAAUAGAUUAUAAGCUUACUUUAGUAUUAAGAUAUUGAGAUGUUUAAAAUAUGCCUGGAAGAAUGGAAAAUUACAGUUGGCUGAAAGGAAACAAAAAGAAGAAGUUGUGGCAAAGCUUCUGAGAAAUGGAGAAAGAAAAGGAAACAAGCAGGCGUUAUCAGGAAAAGGACGCAAUCCUGAGGUUAAGGCAAUAGUUAGUGACAGUUUUAAAAAACAGGUAUAUAUAUAUGUAUGGAUUAAUAAAAGAACAGAACUCAGAUUGACUACA